rnacentral:rRNA from 1 species
UAGUCCACGCCCUAAACGAUGCUAACUCGAUAUUUGGACUUCGCGUCUGAGUGUCCAAGGGAAACCGAUAAGUUAGCCACCUGGGGAGUACGUUCGCAAGAAUGAAACUCAAAGGAAUUGACGGGGGCCCGCACAAGCGGUGGAGCAUGUGGUUUAAUUCGAUGAUACGCGAGGAACCUUACCAGGGCUUAAAUGUAGAUUGACAGGUUUAGAGAUAGACUUUCCUUCGGGCAAUUUACAAGGUGCUGCAUGGUUGUCGUCAGCUCGUGCCGUGAGGUGUCAGGUUAAGUCCUAUAACGAGCGCAACCCCUGUUGUUAGUUGCCAGCGAGUCAAGUCGGGAACUCUAACAAGACUGCCAGUGCAAACUGUGAGGAAGGUGGGGAUGACGUCAAAUCAUCACGGGCCCUUACGUCCUGGGGCUACACACGUGCUACAAUGGUAGGGUACAGAGAGCAGCCACAACGCGAGUUGGGAGCGAAUCUAUAAAACCUAUCACAGUUCGGGAUCGGGAGU